AAAUGAUGAUGAUGAUGAUGCACCAUGUACAUCGAUGGCGCUAUAUAAAUAAAUGAAAAAUGUAAUCCAGAAUUGCAUUGACUUCAUUUUGGAGAUCCAAACCACAUUGUUUCAUAAUGGAUGCCAAACAGGGACCAGCACCGUACCUGAGACUCCAUUGGACAGAAUUGCUAGAGAAGAGUUCUAUGGAUGCCAUGGAUUGCUAAACAGACAAAUCAAAGAUGACCAGACUGCGCUCCAGAUUUUCCCUGCAAAAUCCAGAGC